UACGAAGGGCCCAAGCGUUAUCCGGAUUUAUUGGGUUUAAAGGGUGCGUAGGCGGACUAUUAAGUCAGUGGUGAAAGCCCCAAGCUUAACUUGGGAACUGCCAUUGAUACUGAUGGUCUUGAGUACAUUUGAGGUGGGCGGAAUGUGUCAUGUAGCGGUGAAAUGCUUAGAUAUGACACAGAACACCGAUUGCGAAGGCAGCUCACUAAACUGUAACUGACGCUGAGGCACGAAAGCGUGGGGAGCAAACAGG
rnacentral:rRNA from 1 species